AGUUUGAUCCUGGCUCAGAACGAACGCUGGCGGCAGGCUUAACACAUGCAAGUCGAACGCCCCGCAAGGGGAGUGGCAGACGGGUGAGUAACGCGUGGGAAUCUACCGUGCCCUGCGGAAUAGCUCCGGGAAACUGGAAUUAAUACCGCAUACGCCCUACGGGGGAAAGAUUUAUCGGGGUAUGAUGAGCCCGCGUUGGAUUAGCUAGUUGGUGGGGUAAAGGCCUACCAAGGCGACGAUCCAUAGCUGGUCUGAGAGGAUGAUCAGCCACACUGGGACUGAGACACGGCCCAGACUCCUACGGGAGGCAGCAGUGGGGAAUAUUGGACAAUGGGCGCAAGCCUGAUCCAGCCAUGCCGCGUGAGUGAUGAAGGCCUUAGGGUUGUAAAGCUCUUUUGUCCGGGACGAUAAUGACGGUACCGGAAGAAUAAGCCCCGGCUAACUUCGUGCCAGCAGCCGCGGUAA
rnacentral:rRNA from 1 species